AGUUUGCUCCCAUAUUGUUGCAGUUAAAACGCUCGUAGUCAGAAUUGCCUGUCAAAGGCUUGCGAACUUCUGUUCGUUCACUGUGAACAAAUCAGGACGCUUAGCGUACGGUUUUCGGGAAUGACUCAGCGCAGUAUGAUAUCUUUACUUCUAGUAAAAUCAAUGAGAGCCACCGGGGGUAGAUCUAUUUCAUGGCGAACGGUGGAAUGUUUUGACCCAUGAGAGAGAAACGAAGGCGAAAGCAUCUACCUAGAGGGUUUCUGUCGAUCAAGGGCGAGAGUAGGAGUAUCCAACCGGAUCAGAGACCCGGGUAGUUCCUACCUUAAACGAUGCCGACAGGGGCUUGUCCUUUCAUGAGGGCAGGACCUUAGGAGAAAUCAUAGUUCUUGGGCUCUGGGGGAACUACGACCGCAAGGCUGAAACUUGAAGGAAUUGACGGAAGGGCACACCAGGGGUGGAGCUUGUGGCUUAAUUUGAAUCAACGCGGGGAAACUUACCAGGACCAGAUGUUUUUUAUGACUGACAGGCUUCAGGUCUUUCAGGAUAUGAUUUUUGGUGGUGCAUGGCCGUUGGUGGUGCGUGGGUUGACCUGUCAUGCGUUGAUUCAGAUAACGAGCGAGAUUAUCGCCAAUUAAAUACCAGGUUCUGCUUUCAGAUCUAUGGUUCUAAUUGGGACUCCCUGCGUUUCAAGCAGGAGGAAGAGGGUAGCAAUAACAGGUCCGUGA
rnacentral:rRNA from 1 species